GGAUCACUGGAGGUCAUGAGAUCAGACCAUCCUGGCCAACAUGGCAAAACCCCGUCUCUACAAAAAAUACAAAAAUUAGCCGGGAGUGGUGGCGUGUACCUGUAAUCCCAGCUACUUGGGAGGCUGAGGCUCGAGAAUUGCCUGAACCCAGGAGGCAGAGAUUGUUCGAGACACUGCACUCCAGCAUGGGUGACAGACUGAGACUCUGUCUCAGAAAAGCAAAACAAAAACAGGAAAGAUUGUCCUCAUGCAUAACAUCAGUGUUAUAUGUCCACUUUCUGAAUUGUUUGACACUGAGGGAAUUUAUAAGAAAGCAAGUAUUAUAGUUCCCACCUUCCAGAUGCUCAGUUAAGUGACAAGUUGUAAACACUUCAGAUAAGAUGAUGUGCACAAUGAUGGUCGGGCAUGGUGGCUCAUGCCUGUAACCCCAGCACUUUGGGAGGCCGGGGCAGGCAGAUUGCUUGAGGCCAGGAGUUUGAGAACAGCCUGGCCAACAUGGUGAAACCCUGUCUCUACUGAAAAUACAAAAAUUAGUCAGGCGUGGUGGUGCACACCUAUAAUCCCAGCUACUCAGGAAGCUGAGGCAGGAGAAUCGCUUGAACCUGGGAAGCAGAGGUUGCAGUGAGCUGAGAUCGUGCCACUGCACUCCAGUCUGGGUGACAGAGCGAGACUCUGUCUCAAAAAAUAAAUAAAGAUUAUGUGCAGAAUGAAUGAUGGCAGAUAAUUGUUAAUUCUAGGCUGGGCACAGUGGCUCAUGCCUAUAAUCGCAGCACUUUGGGAGGCCAAGACAGGAGGAUUGCUUGAGCCCAGGAGCCGGAGACCAGCCUGGGCAACAUUAGCAAGACCUUGUCUCUACUUAAAAAAAUAAAUUUUUUUUUUCAAUAGCCAGGCAUGGUGGCACACAAGUGUAGUCCCAGGUAUGCAGAAGGCUAAGGCAGGAGGAUUGCUUGAGCCCAGGAGGUCAAAACUGCAGUGAGCCAAGAUCACAAUAUUGCACUCCAGUCUGGGUGACAGGGCUAGACCCUGUCUUAAAAAGAAAAAGAAUUCUAGAAGAGGGAGAGCUCAGUGGAGAGCCAUGAGAACCAAGAAGACUGACUGAAGAGAUGGGAUUUGUUUUUCUGUUUGUUUGUUUUUUUUUUUUUUUUGAAACGGAGUCUCACUCUGUCGCCCAGGCUGGAGUGCAGUGGCGCGAUCUUGGCUCACUACAAGCUCCACCUCCCGGGCUCAUGCCAUUCUCCUGCCUCAGCCUCCCGAGUAGCUGGGACUACAGGCGCACACCACCACGCCCAGCUAAUUUUUGUUGUAUUUUUCGGUAGAGGCAGGGUUUCACCAUGUUAGCCAGGAUGGUCUUGAUCUCCUGACCUCGUGAUCUGCCCACCUCGGCCUCCCAAAGUGCUGGGAUUACAGGUGUGAACCAUCGCACCCAGCCAGAGAUGGGAUUUGAAUCCAGCUCUGGAAGAUACAUAGAAUCUGGAUGGAUGGGGACUAUAGGGGCAUUUCAGACAGUGGGGAUACUAUGAACAAUUGGCAUUAAGCUGGGUGUUAUGGAAAGGAAGAGGCUCCCUGCCUCAGGUAACUCGUGCUUAGGAAUAACAGAGGCAAUAUGGUUGGCCCAAACUUCAUUAGCUAAAUGAAUAAUUACACAAGUCGGAAACAAAAAUGGGAACUCAGUCUCAUAAGGAGCCUGAUAGCCAUUGUUUCCUUAUGUUUUUUGUUGUUGUUGUUCUUGUUUCGUUUCUUGAUUUUUUUUGAGAAAGGGCUGGAGUGCAGUAUCACGGACAUGGCUUACUGCAUCCUUGACUUCCCAGGCUCAGGCAAUCCUCCCACCUCAGCAGUCUGAGUAGCUGGGACCACAGUUGUGCGCCACCAUGCCCUGCUAAAUUUUUUACUUUUUUUUUUUUUUUUUUUUGUAGAGACAGGUUCUCGCCAUGUUUCCCAGGCUGGUCGCAAACUCCUGGGCUCAAGUGAUCCUCCCGCCUCGGCCUCCCAAAGUACUGGGAUUAUGGGCAUGAGCCACAGCGCCGAGCCCCGAUUUUUUUUUUUAAUGCUAAAAGACUGGAUUAAUAAACUGUGAUCCUUGUUUAUAACAAGUGCUAGAAAUAGGACACAGAAAAUUGGAGUUGAGUUAAUUUCAGAGCUUAACCAGGCAAACAGGUGAAGCCAGUGGUGAUGUGCUUGCUCAAGACAAAAAUAGCCUGAUGGUGGUAGUGAUGAUAUAAUUUCUAACUGACUAAGGUUCUUUGGAGGGUUGUAAACAAGUGGGAUAGAAAGCAACUGCUAAAUGCAAUAUUUUUAACCUUUUAAACUCCUUUGCUAGAGUUCUACAUUUUAAACUAUAAAAAUGAAGUCACUGUGGUACUAAUAUGUUAUCUUUUUGUGGGUAGGCAGUUAACUUAGAGAAAGGAAAUGAAGAGUAAAGAUGUACAGUUCUUCUCUAAAGAAGGAACACUUCCUUAGUGAUCAGUGCUGGGGCAGAUUUUAUUUUGCGUUUUUCUAUGAAGGUAAGAUCUCCAGAUUGGCUGGUGGCAGCAGAUUAUUUUGGGGAAAGAGCUCUGGAUUGGUUACCGGCCUAAUGUGCAUUCAGGUACCGGUUCCACCUUGCUCCCUGAUUUGGGCAAGCUAUUUCACCUUUCUGAGCCUCUGUGUCUACAUAAGGGGAUGAUACCACCUACCUCAUAGUUAGGAAGGAAAAGUAGUAUCUCUUGUGUAGAGUGUGGCUUGCCAUACAGCAGGUAUUAGCAGACAUUGGUCCAGGAUGCCUUUAAGUAUGGAAAACUGAGAGAUGGAGACUCUCCCUAUGAGAGAGAGAGAGAGAGUGUGUGUGUGUGUGUUUGUUUGAAAAGAAAGGAAUAUGAGAGUUGGAAGUUCCUAAAGGAUGUCAGCCAGGUUUGCUCUUUUUACCAAAAAGGCUUUGAGUACAAAACCAUGCAUCAUUCCACCUUUAUGUAAAACUGUAUGCGCCUCAUCAGGAAUACUCUAUGGACUUCAGAUCAUGCUUUCAAAGGGAUCUCUUAGAAUUGGCCAAGAUCCAGAAAAGGGAACUGAGUCAGACAAAAGAGCAGGACUCUUCAAUGUGGAAAAGCAAAGACUGAAGGAAUCAUGGGAUCAGGAGGAGAGGGCCAGACCUUCCUAAUCAGGUGUCCUGGUGAGAGGAGGACUUCAUAAUACGGAUUCGGCUCCCUGAGCGAGAUGGCCAAGACAAAACUGACCACGUAAUUUUUGUAUUUUCAUGGAAAUACGAAGGGGAUAUAAUUUCAGCAAAACCCUGCCGGCUUCACUUGGUGACUACAACCAAAGAUUAUGUGUCAAGUGCAGGAGGGUCCCUCUCUGACAGGUCUGAUUGUUGGUGACCCCGCCAUCAGAGUAGAGACAGAGCUCACGGUUUAAAAGUUUCAUCGGGGCCAGGCGUGAUGGCUCACACCCGUAAUCCCAACACUUCAAGAGGCAGAGGCAGAAGCAUCACUCAAGCCUAAGAGUUCAAGGCCAGCCUGGGUAACAUGGCAAGACCCAUCUCUACAAAAAAUUUAAAAAUAAAAAAAUUUAAAGCUAC